UCCCUGGUGGCUCAGACGGUAAAGCAUCUGCCUGCUGUGCGGGAGACCCAGGUUCGAUCCCUGGGUUGGGAA